CGGCAACUCGCUCCGUCGGCAGUGGGUCGGCCUCUCCCUCUACGGCUUGAUCCUCCGACCCUGGAGGGACGAUGCUGCUCAAGUCAAGCUUCGGGUGCAGACUCUGAAUCGCAUCCCGAGCAUCCUCGUACCCCACCCGAUAGGAGGCGAAGUCGCUCUCGAGGAGCUCCUCUCGGUACUCGUUCGAGCUACAGAAGUCCUCCACCGCCCGACUCAGUGCCUCCUUGGCCGACUCUGCC
rnacentral:lncRNA from 1 species